AACGCGAAGAACCUUACCAGGGCUUGACAUGCACGGUGCAGCCGUAGAGAUACGGUGUCCUUUGGGGUCGUGCACAGGUGGUGCAUGGUUGUCGUCAGCUCGUGUCGUGAGAUGUUGGGUUAAGUCCCGCAACGAGCGCAACCCUUGUCCUUAGUUGCCAGCAUUAAGUUGGGCACUCUAAGGAGACCGCCGGUGACAAACCGGAGGAAGGUGGGGAUGACGUCAAGUCAUCAUGGCCUUUAUGACCAGGGCUACACACGUGCUACAAUGGUAGAUACAGAGGGAAGCCAACGCGCGAGCGGGAGCCAAUCCCAGAAAAUCUAUCGUAGUCCGGAUUGGAGUCUGCAACUCGACUCCAUGAAGUCGGAAUCGCUAGUAAUCGCAGAUCAGCAUUGCUGCGGUGAAUACGUUCCCGGGCCUUGUACACACCGACUGUAC
rnacentral:rRNA from 1 species